GCAGAGCGCGCGGCCGCGCGCCGUUCAAUCAAUAAUCACGCAUUUCCACUGAAUAAAAAUCAUUUCCCUAUUCCGGUACCAUAUAAAACAAUAUACCACAUACAAAUAUAAAAUCCCCGAUAUUAAAUAGUGUUCAAAAUGUAUAUAAACAGUGAUUUAUAAAUUGUUUUCGCGAAGUGCGACGCAGUUUCGUUUGGGAGGUACUAGUGUUCUCUACAUAACUGCCGAAUCUAUCGGCGAGUGUGAUAACUUUCGCUUGAUGAAGUGAACUGCUACCAAAUGGACCUUGCGGUGAACUUGGAUCGGGAGGAUUACAGGAUGGCGCCGCCGGCUUCCUGCAUGGGCACGGAGCAUGGCUGCGUCAUGUUCGACUGUUUGGUGCAUCUGUGGGAAUGGAUUGACCCGCCAGCCGCGCAGACAGAAUACCAAAUGGAGAACAAAAAGAAUGUCACAGCAACACAGCAACCCCUCACGCAGCAGCACAUCAUGGCGCACCACGUGCACCCCGACCAAAUAUACUCCUCUCAACACCCACAGUUACCUGCGCACGUAAACAACCAAAUACAGCCGAAGGUUCAAUCUGCGCAAAUUCAACCGAAUGGCGUCAUGCACCAACUAUUGCAAAGUCAAUAUCAAUCGAACAUGAACGCACGAUCGCCGCUCCUAGAAAACAGGCACGAAAUGUAUGGCACCGGACACAAUCACGAUUAUGCGAGACAUUACGGUGCUAACGACAAUUAUAAUUAUCCACAGUCACCACCUCGGCUCGAAAGAACAGAAAUCCAUACUGAUCACAAUGUAAAUCAUGAACUAUUGCAUAAUAUUCCAAAAGGAUACAACGCAGAAGUAUAUCAAGACUAUUUAAAACGUAACCCACCGAAAGAUAAUAACCAAAUAUAUCAAAACCAUCAACCUAAUAUUAAUCAAUAUAGACCUAAUGUAAAUCAGUACGGCACGAAGCCGUAUCUUCCCUAUUCGAAUCGAAUAGGGCCCCAAAGUAACACUGAGUUAUUAAGAAAGCAGUAUAAUGAAAUACAACAAAUGAAAAUGCAACAGCAAAUGCAUUAUCAGAAUCAGGCUCAAAUGCAUCAACAACAGAAGUUUGCGGAGCGACAAAUUUUAUUACAGCAAAUACAUGGUGUUCAACCACCACCUAACUUACAGAAUAGUAUAUAUUCUGAUAGUUCUUAUAGAGAUCUAGAUCGAUAUAGUAGUAAAAAUGACUUUAAGGAAUACAGUAGUACGGAUUUGUCGAAAGACUUCGAUAGGUACGGUAAACAUAAUGAUUACAGUGACCUACAAAAUAGACAAUAUCAAGAGAAUCAUUGGCAAUCAAAUCAAAAUGAUUUCCGGGAAGUAGAUAGGCAGAGACCUGAGCAAGACAAGGCAAAAAGUAACUCUCCGCCAUCAGAUAAUAAUCAAAGAAGUACAGAUAUUAUAUCUCCAAUGAAAUCUAGUGAGUCUAGUACACCUAGUAUAAAGUCACCCUCAUCAGACAGUCGACGCAGUAGUAGCGGGACUCAGGCAUUGCGAUCUCCAUCUGCCCAACGUAUACCAUCAGCUCCGGUGACUUUGUCUGGGUUGCUAUACAAACAAGGAUCUGAUGGCCUAAAGGUUUGGCGGAAGAGGUGGUUUGUUUUGUCAGAAUACUGUCUAUUCUACUACAAAAGUCAAGAUGAAGAAAAGCUUUUAGGGUCUGUCCUAUUGCCCUCGUAUAAGGUCUCAGCGUGUAGCGCAGAGGACAAAGUGAUGCGGAAGUUUGCGUUCAAACUGGAACAUGCAAAUAUGAGGACAUACGUGUUGGCGGCUUUGGAUCCGGAAGCCAUGAUGAAGUGGGUGAAGGCGCUCACAAUGGCAGCUAUUAUGCAAACAUCCAAUGAGCAGCCACAAAAGCAAAUCGAUCGCGCAGCUGCAAAAACAGAGGAAGGCGAUGAUGCUGGACCUACGUACGCCAAUGCGCCACCUAAGCCCAGACGAGCAAACGAUGGAUAUAAUUCACCCAGCCCGGAUAUGUACGAUCCAAAUUACGAUCUACUCAAAAAACCUGCAUCACACUACAGUCAAGGCACCAGUCAUACUCGAUACCAGGACACAACCUACAGCACAAAACAGGAGAUUUACACACGCAGCCCGCAAUCACCGCCCUCGCAACCAACUUACCAUACAAAAAGACCUUACGACACGCAGCAACUAUCAUUACCAUUAUCCAAGACAGCUUUUGACAAUUCAGAAAAAUCUCCAAACACUCCAUCUAUCAAUAAAUCUAAUCCUCAAUCUCCCUAUUUCGAAAAUAGGUCUAGAAAUCAGCAGCAACACUCUCAAGAAGACAAAAUUGAAAACUUAUAUGAAAAGAAACCUGGUUAUAAUCCUUUUCUUGAAGAUUAUGGACAAAAUAAGAAAGACGAUGAAAGGAGUAGGCCUAUUGAAUCGAAUAAAACAUCAAUUUACAAUGAAAGCUACCCUGAAUCUCGAACCAAUUCCAAAACUUACGUUGAUGCUAAUGUUUACGGUAGAGAUGUGUAUGGUGAUGUUAAUACAAAGGCGAGUAAAACGAGCACGUUAAAUGAACGACUAGCUGAGAGGCGAACACCUGAUGCAUAUGGCAGAUCAACAGCUAUGUCUGCGUAUAACACUGAAAAAAUUGGAGACUAUGAAGAUAUUUAUGCGGCAUACGGAAAUGAUGCUGGAAAAGCAUAUGCAAAGUCCCCAAAUCCCUCCCAUUCCCGGGAUACAAUUAGUUUAUCUAGCCAUAAAUCGCCCCAAGAGCAAGUUACUAACACGAUUCCAGAAAAAACAUUUAGUGGGCCAUCAGUUUUGCGAAGGAAAAAAAUGCAAGCGAGUGGUAUUCAACCCCCGAUGCCACGCCCCCAUAGCGCAGAUUUUCUCGAAUAUGAAUCCAAAAACGAAACUCUUUAUAAUGUGACGCCAACACGAAACACGCACGAUCCACCUAAACAACCACCACGUCCAAAAUCUAGUCUAGACAUAAACUCCUAUUAUGAUCCUAGUUCAGAUAAAUAUUAUUCUGAGGAAAGUUAUGCACAAAAAAUGCGACAAUCGGCACAAUAUUUGCAACAACAGGGCACACGGCCAAGAAAUAUACAAAUACCAUUAGAAAAAUAUGCAAGUGGACUUGCUGAAAAACAAUUACAUUCCCCAUAUAUGCACCCUAACAAUAAUAACUAUGAAACUGAAUUUAGCAAUAAGAAUAUUCGUGAUAAUGUUAGUUAUAAUUCAAAAUAUAGCGAUCUUGAAGCUUUACAUUCUAAUUGGACAUUGAAAGAAAAAGAUUUGGAAGCCCAAAAAGAUUAUUUAAACAGAAGUGGUAGUGUGAUGAGCGAUGGUUCACAAAUCAGUGCGUAUGUAAAGGAUGUUGGGAAAUUUGAUCCAGGGAUAGAUGGAUUUAUGCGAUCCGCAAGCGCUAGGUUGCCAUCAUCUGCUGAAAGAGAAGGAGAAAAGAAAGUACAACAGCGUGAAGAAUCAAUGAAAAGACUGCUUGAAUGGAAGCAGAGAAUGUUACAGUCUCCACUGACAAGAAAAAGUACUCCAGCUGCUAUUUCAUUAAAUAGAUCAUUGAAUCAAAGUCGCCAAUCAUUAAGAUCUGACCAGUACAAACCUAAAACUUAUAAAAAUGCUUCAUAUAACAGCUAUUCUUCAGAUGAUGAAGCUUCUAUGACAAUGUCAGGCACAAAUAUAGAACCAGGCUCAAAGAAUAAUAAUAACAAUAACCAAAUAAACCAGCAAACUUUGUCAAAAAAAGCAUUUCUUGGAAGUAACACGUCGAUUGGUAGAAGUAAUAGGGAUGGUACUAUACCAGUAAGAGCUGUAAGCCCUAGAGUAAGAUGGGUUGAAGAGAAACCCACUAAUGAACAUUGUUCGCAGCCGAUCACAGCAUCACAACAAAAUUUGAAUACAUUAACGGGUUCUGAGGAUGUAUGGACGACAGUAAGGUCACCAUCGAGAACUUUACAACAACCAAUAAGAGCCGUUAGUCCUAGGAUUAGAAGAAACAAUAACAACGACAACAACGAUACGCGUAAGGAGGUCCAUAAUCAAGAAUCAAGUGAAAUACCAACGGCCGGUGAGCUUUUGGGAAGAAGUCACGAGGAGCUAGUUUUGCUCUUGAUUCAAUUAAGAAGACGUCACGCAGCAACUCAUCGUUCUAUUGAGCAAUGCUGUGUUCAGAUUAGUAGUAUAGAGGAUUGUCUAAGUUCACUCAAAGCCAUUGAACGGGAAGAAAACUUACAACGUUUGGAACAGUUAAAGACUCAACUCAUGGAGUUAGAGAACCAUUAUGAAAAAAGUAAGCCGUUAGUGCAAUUGGUUGAUAAUAUGGUGAAACUUGGAUCUUUGUAUAAUAGACCAGGUUCUACGAUAGAACGAUUGGAGCGAAAUCAGAGGCUGAGACAAAAAGUUCUUGCAGAACAUGCUAUGGAACAACAAAGAUGGCUCGAAAGUGCCGCAGCAGGCAAACCCUUAGAAACAGAAGCGGCAAGAGUCAGAGUUGCUGAACUAUGGGCAUUGGAACAGGAACUAGCAGACGAGGCAGCCAUUCUUCAAGGUCUUAAAACUGACAAAGAUGCUAUUGACUCAUUGUUGACAGGUGUUCGCAGUAAGCUGGACAGCGUAAACAUUGGUUCCCGAGCUCAGCCUUCAGGCUUGGAGGCGGAGUUGGCGCGAGUGCAUGCCAUGCUGGCGCACAAUUCUAAGGUUUAUAAGAAACUAGAGCAAACGGUAGCGGACAAUGCACGUUUGGAAAGGGAACUGCAUCACCUCCGCCGCGCCCUGCGAGCUCAGCGCGCUAACAUUCAUGCCCAAGCUUCGCAUAACAUGCCACCAUCGCAUCCCACUGCUAUGCUAGAGGAUGAAGUGACACGAGUACAACAGUUGGUGUCAGCUUUACAGCGUCAGCGUCAGGAGCUGAGCCGCGCGGUGCGUCACCUCACGCAGCAGUCCCACGCCUUGCAGAUCACUCAUGAUUCUAUGCCUGGCAAACGUCGUCCAAUGUCGUCUUGGCAAGAAACGAAUCUGGAUACAGGCCAUACUAUCGACCACGGGCAAUCCGACUAUGACUACGACUCGCAAGGACCAGUAAUGCCCCCGGGACACUAUCCACCGAGCGUGGAGACGCCGCUGUAUGUUGAUACUAGAGCACCCGGCAUGGAUGUCGCGUCACCAAUAAACAGCGAGGACAUGCAACACACUGCUUUUGGUAACCUCACUAAUGUAGAAAAACAAGAGAUCAAAACAGUGCGAAUUGUGAAACGGGAAAGCGAAAGGCGACAAAGAGAUCGCGACCGGUCUUUACAACCAUUAUCCGAUUGGUCCAGCAACCAUAUCACUGCCAACAUAGAUCAAUUUUUAGAAGAAGAAUUAGUGCAACCAAUUAAUAACUACAGAGCGUCUUCUUUACCUAGAACUGAGUAUAGCAAAUAUGAAGAAUAUUAUUCCAAGCCUCAAUACGCAGAUUCUGUAAAUUAUAUCGGGAUGAACGAAAAGAACAUGCAACAGAGUCCUAAAUAUCCCUCAAGCCCUUCGUUGUCUAAUUAUGAUUAUUCAAGAGAUAUUUCAUCUUUAAGCAGUAGCUAUCACAAAACUUAUGACAGAUCUGCUGGUUAUGAUCGUACCAUAUCUUUGUCAACCCAAUAUCUCAAUAGCCCAACAGAUAGUUCAAGGACUUUGACUAACGAUCCCAUGUCAAAAACGAGCAGUAUUGUAAGCUUAACGAGAUCCAAUAUGGAAUUGUCUCCUAUAUUUAAAAGUGAAGCUGCUAAACAAAUUAUUACGGAGGUGUCAGGAGAACCUAAAAAUGGCUCUUUACAUAGACGACAAGUACCAAAAGAGAAGAGGAGGCACUAUACCGCACCGCACCAUUUGAGCGCCAAAACUCUUAAUGAAAUGCCUAAGGAUGCUUACAAUCAAGAUGCUCUGGGAAGGUCACUGGACGACGCAGACAUGGAACGUGCACUUCGCGGUGCUGCUCCAGAUGUGGUGCGCUCGGCUCUACCGGCGAGAAGGUUACCAGACUCCAUAGAUCAGCUCUUGGCUGCUCCUCAGAAGAUUAUUAUACCAGAACGAUACAUACCUGAGAAGCCUCCAGAACUAUCUCCGGAAGAACAGCAGAAACGUCAAGAGAAAGUCGAAUCAAUUAAAAAGAUGCUCUCGAGUUCUUCUGCUGACCCUAGCAAGAGCCCAGACGGACAGGAGAAGCGACAGCGCGAGCACUUGCUCCAGAUGAACCAGAUCCUUGCCAAGCAGGUCACCGAGAUGAGCAAAAUCAUAGCUGGAACCAACACCGAUGGACCGUCCAACGCAAACAACUAAUCACCGCCCAAAAUCCCAGCAUCCUCUAAUUCCACGUACAAUUUAGCCAAAGACACUGUUUUAGUAAAAUCAUACGUCAUUUAAUGACUUUAACCUAUCGUUAUCACAAUUCACACAAUACCUAUAACCUAUAGUCCAUGUCUAGUACUUUAUCCCAUUCCUGAACUAGCGGUCUUGAAGAUUCAUCCAGUUUGCAGCAUGGUUUCCGUUUUUAUUUUGCAUUUUCUUUUAAAGCAUUAGAAGAACUACCUCUGCAAGAUAAUAUGGAUGACUACGAAGAUCGUUCACCAGACGUCGAACUGCCAAUAUAUCAACAAAGAGACAAUUUCUUCACAUGAACAUUCACAUAGUCUAAACAAAUCUUCGGAUAUCUUGAAUGCCCCAUAUACGGCCUUUAUAUCGGCUUCUUAAAAUAUGCAUUAGAAUUUUGGACUUUUGAAUUUUAGGAUGUUUCUCAUAAACCUCCUAUAAAUAAAUAUAAAUCCAGCAAUAGGUAAUAUUAUAUCAACCUUAGAAAUGUUUGAUUAUUUAGAAUUUAUUACUUAAACAAAGACCUUAUUAGUUUAAAAGUGAAAAGAUUUCUAAUGGAGAUGAUUAUAAUAUUCAAGGUGUAUUGAUGCAACCUUUAUGACGUCUCGGAAACAAGCUGCAGAUGUCGGUCGUACAUAAAAUACGCAAAAACAAGACGCGCGCGUGGUGUAAUCCUGCCGCCGCGCCAUUACGUUACCGCUGACAUCUAAAAUCUUGUAUUGUGCAGUUUAACGUGAUGUUACUAAACGUCAUAAAGAUUGCAUCCGACUACACCUGAUACCUAAUAUUAUUUUAAGUAGGUACACGUUCCACAUAAUUAAAAAGCGAUACUUAGCGAUAUUGUGCGAGUAUUUUAAUCGAGUAACAGUAAGAGGUGCGUGGCUGUUCAAUUAAACACAUCAUAUAAUUGAUGAUUAUUAUUAUUCGUAAAGGAGAAUAAAAUUUAAAAAUACAGAAAUGUUACUUAUAUUAAAAAUGCGAAAGUUAAAGAAUAUUCAUAUGUUACUCAUUCACGUCUGGAACCUCGCGGAUCUAUAAACAUAACAAUUGGCGUACCUAAAAUACUUCUUUAUUAAAAAGGCUACUAGUAUAACCGAGAGGUACAGCCAUAGUACAUGUUAAUAUUAUCCACAAAAAAUCAUUAAGUGAGACGCCAAAUAUACUAAAUAGUCACGUACCUAUCUAAUUUUAAAGAUAGUACGUUUAUUAUCACUGAUUAGUGUAGAACUCAGUGUACUAUUUAUAUUAUUAGAUGAUAUUAGAAAGUGAAUAUUACGUGACACAUUAAAUAUCUUGGUAAAGUAAAUGUACUUGAAUAUAAUGACUAGAGAAGAGAAAUCGCUUUCACAAACCCUACUGCCGACUGGUACGCUUCUGCUUGGAAACAUAUCAUGUCAUAUCUUUAGACAUGUAAUAUAUAUGACAAAGUAUGCUUUAGACUUAACAUAUUUCAUUUAGCAAUUGCUCAAUUUACAAUACAAAACAUUCCGUUUAAAGUUUUCUAUUAAUGAAAAAAAAAAAAAAAAAGGUGUUGUACGCUGUAUUGUUUAAUUUAUGGGCCAGUUUACAAUUAAAUAGAGUAAAUUCAAAAUAUAAAAAUUUUCAUGAUCAAAUUAAAUGAUUAUAAAUAUAAUAUGAUACAUAACACGUUAUUAACGAAAUCAAAUCCAGUGUGUUAUGCAAUCGUUUAAUAUUUAUAAAUAUAAUUGUAAUACAAUAUAGUCUUCUAUAUAAAGGGCCUUCAAUUGUUAUUUUAGAUGUAAGGUUAUAUGACUUACAAUGUAGUGUAUUUAUAAAUCUAUAAAAAAAAUGAUGCCAUGUUAAACGAAAGUACUUAAUAUUGUAGAUAAAGCACAUGUUUUAUUUUAAUUUUGGAACGAAUGAAAAUGCGUUUUAGUAUUAUUUCGUUUAAAAUAAUUACCCUUGUAAUAUUGGUUAUUUAUAAUAUAAAUUAAUUUUAUUAACCAUCUAUAGUUAUUUAAGUGAUUGUUUAUUUUUUAUUGUGUAAUAUAUUUGUUGUACCGAAUUAAAUCGUACCCGUAUUUGCACAUAGUCAAUUGUAGGAAACCAAAACUUCUUAUGAAUAUAACAAAGUAUUUAUCAAUACUUGUAAUAUUUUAUGUAUUGUAACACAUAUUGUUCGAAUGCUUCACGUGUUAUUUCAAAGAAGCAACGAAUUUGGAACACUUGUGAUAUUCAUAAAUAUACCUGAUUUUUUAAAUAUCACAUGCCUACAUCUUUCAAAAUAGGUGAUAUGUGAAUAAUUGUUUAGAUGUAGCUUUUUAGAAUAUGACUGUAUUAGCCUAUAUAAGCUUUAAACAUUGAAGUUAACCUCUUAAACACCGAUUUAAAAUUUUUAUUCAUAUUUAAUUAUGCUUCAUGUAAUUUUUCAGAUCAAUUUCCAUGACCCUAUAAAAAAGCUCGUGCGCUGUAGCAAGGUGCGGGUGACAGUUCAUUUUACUCUUCAAAGUUUGUCGCGAUUCACGAUAAUAGGCAAACAUCAUAGGGCAACUGUCACUCGCACCAAGCUACAGCGCACGAACCAUAGUUUUGUUUCGUAAGAUUUUAUUUUACUUAUUUUAAUUUUUAAUUUUGACAUAAUUUUAUACAAUCUAUUUAUUUUUGCUAUAUUACAGUUAACAUUUUAUUUUAUCAUAAUUAACAACAAAUUUAUUUUGCUUUAACAUUUAUUAUAAUUUUUAACAUUUUCAUUAAAUAAAUUAUCGUUUCAUCGUUUCGCUUCGCAUCGUAUAAUGGUGUGGCGUCGGCAUCUGUGUUCCAUAUAACAAUACGAUAUCCUAUUAAGCUUAAUUGUUAUAUUAAUAAAUUCGUAUAUACAAAAAAUAAUAAUUUCCUAGUAAAUAUAUAGACUGAAAUAGUUUUUGCCUUAAAUCCUCUUGAGAAUUUCCUAAACCUGUAUUGUUUAUAUUAUAAUAUCUAUCUAUAAUGUCAAUUAUGUACUUAUUUUAUCUAUCUAUCUGAAUAAAGAAUUAAUAUCG